ACCCGCGCACGCGCGAGGUAAGCUGAGAGAACUUCCCGCGGAGGGCUGUCCGGGCAGCGCAAGCCGCGACAGACUUCCACAGUUCUGACCGCCAAGUGCGUCCGUAGGUGUCUCCCUGAGGCCGAGCGCGUGUGAGGCGGAUUCUGUCAAAUUCUUCCCCCGAGUUUGUCCCCUCACGUGGUACACAGGUGUGUGGCCCUUUGUACCCGGCCUUGUGAUCCUGUGUGUGUUUGCAGCAGAGAGGGUUGCGGGACCGACUGCACCUCAGGCUGAGGAGAAGAACAGAGAAAAGGGAUAUGCGUUUCCCUUGGCAGGAAAACACUUACUUUCAAGACUCCGCUUCCAAAAUGUAUGAGUGUCUGGGCUGUUCAGCAAACCGGCUUUAGUUUUUCCCUCUUAAUGUGGUAGCAUGUUAUUGAGAACAGAAAAAAGCAGGCCCUGGCAUCCAGGAACUGGCCUGACGCUUACAGGAACAUGAAUUGAAGGUCUACCAAGUGUGGGUGCUGGGAUUUGAAUUGUGAUCAAGCUACAAUCCCUGACUACGAGAGGUUCCAAUGUGGAGGAGGCAAGCACUUGGAGAUCUGUAACCCAGGCCAUGUACCUCAGCUGCUCAUCUGUCAGGAGAGCAGGAGGGGCACAGAGGAUCCUAUUCAAGGCCCAACUUCUCCAAAG